rnacentral:rRNA from 1 species
CUAAGAAUAUUCCGCAAUGGACGAAAGUCUGACGGAGCGACGCCGCGUGGAUGAUGAAGGCCGGAAGGUUGUAAAAUCCUUUUAUGACUGAGGAAUAAGUGAAGUGAGGGAAACGCUUCAUGGUGACUGUAGGUCAUGAAUAAGCAACGGCUAAUUACGUGCCAGCAGCCGCGGUAACACGUAAGUUGCGAGCGUUGUUCGGAAUUAUUGGGCGUAAAGGGUAUGUAGGCGGAAUUGCAAGCUUGAUGUGAAAGGCAGGGGCUUAACUCCUGGAUUGCGUUGAGAACUGCAUAACUAGAGUAACUGAGGGGCAGCCGGAAUUCCAGGUGUAGGGGUGAAAUCUGUAGAUAUCUGGAAGAACACCAAUGGCGAAGGCAGGCUACCAGCAGAUUACUGACGCUGAGGUGUGGAGGUAUGGGGAGC